GUAAUUCGAACAGAAUUCGAACAGGAAGUGCACGGUUGCAUGGGAUUAAAAACAAUCAAUGCAACCAAGAUCCUGAACAGAAAAAUUGUGGUUUUAAAUGUUCGAUUCAUAGUUAAGCUUCAUUUUAAGGAUAUAUCCUUUUUAUACUGGUCACAAAAAACUAGCAGCGAUUGCAAAAGAAUUUUGAUGAUUUAGUCAAUUAACUUAACCGCUUUAAAGAUCCGAAAGGUAAACGAUCAAAAAUAUGCUUAUCACAUUUUGAUGAACAAAAUUAUCUAUCUUAUCUGUAUUUUUAUAUCAAAUGUUUUGUUAAUGUAUAUCAACCGGACUCGAUGAAUGAGUCAGCGACUUCCAAAAAUAUGUAAAUGAUUCUUUGUUUACUCCAGAUCACCAAAUGCUGCUGCGUGACAUGAAAAGACUUAAACGAAAGCUUUCUCUAAAGUUCCGUCAAUCGAAGAGUGUCGGCAGUUUGUCAGAUUUAACGGAGAAUAUUAGCAUAGAAAAUAAUGACAACGAAAUACGAAACUCCGAACAACAAGUAUUCACAUCACCGCCGUCUUCCUUGGUUCCUUUCGAAUUAUAUUUUAAACGACCUACGUUAGGGAGGCAUAAUUCCUUAGGAAUCGUUCAUGAAAAUCCUAAAAUUGGUUCGGACGGCGAAAGUGAAGAAGUUAGUGGAACUUCAGAUGACAAAGAUGACUCUUCCCCUGUAAAAUUACGCUAUCGUCAACGUCGAUUCAGUGAGGACAUUAACAAACGACUCUCCUUGCCUGCCGACAAUCUAAUCGACAAACAAUUUACACUUUCUCCGGAAGUACCUUUGAACAGACGCCAAAGACGAGCGUCUCUGUCUGAAUUGGGAUAUGGAAAGGUUGAAUCAUACAAGAAAUUAGAAAAGCUAGGUGAGGGAACCUAUGCUACAGUAUAUAAAGGUCAGAGUCUGGUUACAGACGCGGUUGUAGCCUUGAAAGAAAUACGACUGGAGCACGAGGAAGGAGCGCCUUGUACAGCCAUUAGAGAGAUAUCAUUGCUCCGUGAUCUGAAGCACGCUAAUAUUGUAACUCUUCAUGAUAUUAUUCAUACCGAUCAGUGCCUUACUCUAGUCUUCGAAUAUGUAGAAAAGGAUCUCAAAUUGUAUAUGGACGACUGCGGCGGCAUUCUAAAUAUAUGGAACGUAAAGCUAUUUCUAUUUCAACUGUUGCGAGGUUUAGCAUACUGCCAUGCCCGGAGAAUUCUGCAUCGUGAUUUGAAGCCUCAAAAUCUGCUUAUCAACGAGACAGGCGAAUUAAAAUUAGCCGAUUUCGGUCUUGCUCGAGCAAAAUCCUUUCCGAUCAAGACUUACUCAAACGAGGUCGUUACAUUAUGGUAUAGGCCACCUGAUGUUUUACUUGGCUCAACUGAAUAUUCGACGCCGAUUGAUAUGUGGGGUGUGGGGUGUAUUUUUUUUGAAAUGGUAUGUGGACGACCUCUCUUCCCCGGUUCUAGUCCCGAGGACCAAUUAACUAUGAUCUUUAAAUUAUUGGGUACUCCCACGGAAGCAACAUGGACAGGGGUUUCGACGAAUGAAGAGUUUUUAUCAUACGAGUUCCCAAGAUAUAAAAGAGAGUCGUUGAAGACACUUGCACCGAGAUUUGACUCAAAUGGAUUAGAUUUGCUACUCAGUUAUCUAUCGUACGAGCCCAAGAAAAGGAAAUCAGCCACCGAAUCUAUGAAAGAUCCUUUCUUCUCGGGAUUGGGCACAGAAGUUCAUUAUUUAGACGACACUUUGCACCGAGAUGACAGCUCUCAAUACCUUUUCCUUUUUGUAGUCGCUUCCAUUUUCACUGUUCCCGGAAUUCGCCUACACAAGGAUCCUGGAAGAAGAACGUUAAAUAUACCCACUGCAGCCGGUAAGUAA
rnacentral:misc_RNA from 1 species